CCCGCUGAACUUAAGCAUAUCAAUAAGCGGAGGAAAAGAAACCAACAGGGAUUGUCUCAGUAACGGCGAGUGAAGCGACAAAAGCUCAAAUUUGAAAUCUGGCGCCUUCGGUGUCCGAGUUGUAAUUUGAAGAAGGUAACUUUGGUUUUGGCUCUUGUCUAUGUUCCUUGGAACAGGACGUCACAGAGGGUGAGAAUCCCGUGCGAUGAGAUGCCCAAUUCCAUGUAAAGUGCUUUCGAAGAGUCGAGUUGUUUGGGAAUGCAGCUCUAAGUGGGUGGUAAAUUCCAUCUAAAGCUAAAUAUUGGCGAGAGACCGAUAGCGAACAAGUACAGUGAUGGAAAGAUGAAAAGAACUUUGAAAAGAGAGUGAAAAAGUACGUGAAAUUGUUGAAAGGGAAGGGCUUGAGAUCAGACUUGGUAUUUUGUAUGUCUUGCUUUCGGGUAGGGCCUCUGCAGUUUAUCGGGCCAGCAUCAGUUUGGAAUGGUAGGAUAAUGACAUUGGAACGUAGCACUGCUUCGGU
rnacentral:rRNA from 1 species